GACGAACGCCGGCGGCGUGCUUAACACAUGCAAGUCGAACGAAGAGCGACGGAAGCUUGCUUCUAUCAAUCUUAGUGGCGAACGGGUGAGUAACGCGUAAUCAACCUGCCCUUCAGAGGGGGACAACAGUUGGAAACGACUGCUAAUACCGCAUACGAUCUAACCUCGGCAUCGAGGAUAGAUGAAAGGUGGCCUCUACAUGUAAGCUAUCACUGAAGGAGGGGAUUGCGUCUGAUUAGCUAGUUGGAGGGGUAACGGCCCACCAAGGCGAUGAUCAGUAGCCGGUCUGAGAGGAUGAACGGCCACAGUGGGACUGAGACACGGCCCAGACUCCUACGGGAGGCAGCAGUGGGGAAUCUUCCGCAAUGGACGAAAGUCUGACGGAGCAACGCCGCGUGAGUGAUGACGGCCUUCGGGUUGUAAAGCUCUGUUAAUCGGGACGAAAGGCCUUCUUGCGAAUAGUGAGAAGGAUUGACGGUACCGGAAUAGAAAGCCACGGCUAACUACGUG
rnacentral:rRNA from 1 species